AUGAUUACCGUGCUACGCAACUUCCAUUCGCAAGGUGGGACUGUGUUUACACAUCAUACCAUGGGUUUCAUGAAUCACCAUAUCCAGAGAUUCGUCGACACAGCUUGUUGCCAUAUAAUCUUCAAUAAUUAUCGAUGCAAGUCGAAGAAGGAUUGGCUGAUGCUGCCGGCUGGCGUCAAGUUCGAUCCCACAUAUCAGGAGCUGAUCGAGCACCUUGAGGCCAAAGUGAGUGCUGACAGCGCGAGAUUUCAGUCUCUCAUUGAUUUGUUCAUACCAAACAUCGACAGCGAGCACGACAUAUGCUACACCCAACCUGAGAAACUUCCAGCAAAAAAGGUUCUGGUGCUGCACACCAACAAGAACUUCGACCAGCAGAGGACCAACUGGGUGAUGCACCAGUACCACCUCGGGGACCUGGAGCAAGAGAAGGAGCGGGAGCUGGUCUUCUGCAAGAUUUUCUACCAGACGAACACUAGGGCCAGGAGUAAAAAGAUUAUAAGUCGAGCAAGUUUCAACUGGGCUGUAGACUGCUCAGGGUUGGUUUUGUUUUUACCAAGCCCAGCCCAUGACGAUAACGGGGCAGAAAGAUCCAGCAGGCGUGACUGCUCCCGAUCCGUCCCCGUCUUCAUUCUCUGCUUUGAUUACUUCCCCUGCACCAACGCCAUGGCUGUCGCCUUUGUCAAGAAGAAGGCCACAGACGAAGCCGAGGUUGAUGCUGCCGCUGCGACCUUUGUGUGGCCCAUCGAAGGGUAUGACUUGUUCAUCCCCUACUUGCUCGUUCAUAUGUUGUCUUCAUAA
rnacentral:rRNA from 1 species